rnacentral:lncRNA from 1 species
AUGGCCAUUAUUGAUUGUUUGACAACAGACUUUGUCAAAUACACUUUGUUUUCCUCACUGUCCUUUUACUGUUGGGGGUUUUGUUUUCAUUUUUUUGUUUGUUUGUUUUUGUUUUGUUUUGUUUUGUUUUUAAAGAUGGAGUCUCACUCUGUCACCCGGGCUGGAGUGAAGGGGCGUGACCUCGGCUCACUGCAACCUCUGCCUACAGUGUUCAAGCGACUCUCAUGCCUCAGCCUCCCAAGUAGCUGGGAUUCCAGCAAAGCCACGAUGCUUCCUGCAGAGAUGAUUGAAUGGACAGCUACUAAAAGUGAUGCCAGAAAUACUCACCAAUGCUGAGUUUAAUUUUUAAAAGACAAUUUUUAAAAGACGAUCUGAGUAGAAAAUUAUUUUAUUAAAGCCAAAAUUGACAAAUGGGAUCUAAUUAAACUAAAGAGCUUCUGCACAGCAAAAGAAACUACCAUCAGAGUGAACAGGCAACCUACAGAAUGGGAGAAAAUUUUUGCAAUCUACUCAUCUGACAAAGGAGCUAAUAUCAGAACCUACAAGAACUCAAAUAAAUUUACAAGAAAAAACAACCCCAUCAAAAGUGGGCAGGAUAUGAACAGACAUUUCAAAGAAGACGAUCAUACAGCCAACAGACACGUGAAAAUGCUCAUCAUCACUGGCCAUCAGAAAUGCAAAUCAAAACCACAAUGAGAUACCAUCUCACACCAGUUAGAAUGGCGAUCAUUAAAAUGUCAGGAAACAACAGGUGCUGGAGAGGAUGUGGAGAAAUAGGAACACUUUUACACUGUUGGUGGGAUUGUAAACUAGUUCAACCAUUAUGGAAAACAAUUAUGGCAAUUCCUCAAGGAUCUAGAACUAGAUGUACCAUAUGACCCAGCCAUCCCAUUACUGGGUAUAUACCCAAAGGAUUAUAAAUCAUGCUGCUAUAAAGACACAUACGCAUUAUGUUUAUUGCGGCACUAUUCACAAUAACAAAGACUUGGAAUCAACCCAAAUGUCCAUCAGUAGCCGGG